UACGUAGGCAGCGAGCGUUGUUCGGAGUUACUAGGGCGUAAAGGGUGUGUAGGCGGUUGUUUAAGUUUGGUGUGAAAUACUCCCCGCUCAACUCGGGAGGGUGCGCCGAAUACUGAAUGACUUGGAGUGCGGGAGAGGAGAGUGGAAUUCCUGGUGUAGCGGUGAAAUGCGUAGAGAUCGGAAAGAACGACCAACGGCGAA
rnacentral:rRNA from 1 species